AUUGAACGCUGGCGGCAGGCCUAACACAUGCAAGUCGAGCGGAUGAAGGAAGCUUGCUUCCCAGUUCAGCGGCGGACGGGUGAGUAAUGCCUAGGAAUCUGCCUAUUAGUGGGGGAUAACUCGGGGAAACUCGGGCUAAUACCGCAUACGUCCUACAGGAGAAAGUGGGGGAUCUUCGGACCUCACGCUAAUAGAUGAGCCUAGGUCGGAUUAGCUAGUUGGUGAGGUAACGGCUCACCAAGGCGACGAUCCGUAGCUGGUCUGAGAGGAUGACCAGCCACACUGGAACUUAGACACGGUCCAGACUCCUACGGGAGGCAGCAGUGGGGAAUAUUGGACAAUGGGCGAAAGCCUGAUCCAGCCAUGCCGCGUGUGUGAAGAAGGUCUUCGGAUUGUAAAGCACUUUAAGUUGGGAGGAAGGUCUGUAAGCUAAUAUCUUGCAGUCUUGACGUUACCAACAGAAUAAGCACCGGCUAACUCUGUGCCAGCCGCCGCGGUAA
rnacentral:rRNA from 1 species